CUGGCUCUCGAGAUUCGGAGGGCGGUGCCUCUUCGAUUUUGGAGCAAGCAAUCUUGUUCGGAGUGUUUUCUCGAAUGUGAGUAAAGGUUGGGCAUGUUUGCUAGUCUACCUUGCCACGAAGCACAGAGGUUGACACACAGGGACUUUCCAAUUAUCCAGCAAUGGUACUGUUCCUUUACCCUUUCUUCGAUUUUUGAGAAAGUAGUCAUGUUGGGAGUCUGGCUCUCGAGAUCCAGAGGACGGUGCCUCUUCGAUUUUGGAGCAAGCAAUCUUGUUGGGAGUUUUCUCGAAUGUGAGUAAAGGUUGGGCAUG
rnacentral:lncRNA from 1 species